UUUAAAUAUGUGAGUAACAUUAAAAAUAUAUAAUAAUAAUUAUGUAAGUAUUUCCGCCUGUCACGCGGGUGACCCGGAUUCGAUACCCGACAACGGCGUAUUUUUGUUUUUUCAACAAAAAAAAAUGUAAAAAUAUAUACCCGCACGGUUGUGCGGGUGGAAAUCUAGUUUACUCUUAUAAAUAGAACAAAACUUGGGUUCAUUCCCUGUGAUAAAUUCUCUAAUUCACCUCUACUUUUAGCACCAAUUAAAUUGACAUACAUGAUUAAUAAUAAUAAAAUAGAGUUUUCUCUCACCUCAGCCCUCCACGUCAGCAAGGAGCAAGGAGCAUUUUUGGACACGUGGCACGCUCAAACACAAAUCGAAUAUGUGUUUUCUCUUCCUCGGGUUUCCUCUUCAUCUUGCCUACGAAACUUUCAGAGAUGCCUUUCAUCUCCCCGUAACGUCUCAUGCUCCUUUACUACGUCCUUAACUCCGGUCUUCUACUUGAUUAUCAUAAAUAUCGCACCUUUCGACGAUGGCCACCACAACUCAAACGAGAUCCAGAAGAAUAGUUUGUUCUAACAACCAGUUACUGUACAUCCGGGACGAUCAGCGAUUAGUAUCAACCGCAGAAGAAUGAAUCAAAAUUCAGAUGUUUUCAAAUGUUGACAGGUUUCUUGGCCGUGUCUGGGAUCCAAUCAACAUGGCGGAUUACGGACUCCGAGGCGGAGAGGAGUUUCGGAGGAGGCAGAGCAGAGGCUCCGUGGUGAUUACAUGUCGUCGUAUUUUUUGAAGUUGAGGCCAUUGGAUUUUAAUCCUAACCAAAGCUGUAACUUUCUCAGCCUUCUUUCACCCUAAUUCGGCACUGUGUAAUGAAGCGAUGCAAGUUGUGCUAGCAGUGUGUUUCCUCUAGGAAGGCAAGGCGGUUGUUGAUUCCAUUGAGAAUGAAAUAGUUUAUCGGAUCCAUGGCACUACUUUUUGUUUUUGUUGUUAGGAUCGUUGCACACGUGAUGGACUUAUUCACAUAUGGAAGCGAUGAAGAAGAAGUUCUUAAACAUGAGGAGCUUCCGUGAAAUAACAUGGAAGAGCUCCAUAGACUUGCCUAUGCUCAAGUCUUUCUUCUCAUUCUUUGACAUGUUAGAUAGCUUCUGUUUAUAUACCAUCUUGCGAGCAACAUGGAUUAUGCUUAUAAGAACUGUUGUUCUGUUGGCAGCCAGGUAUAGACAAUCAGUUGCUUAUUUAAGUUACACCUAUUUCCAUUCUCUAUUGUUGCUUAAAAUUGUAAGAUCUUGUGAUUAAUAAAAGAAGGAAAUAAAACUUAAAGAAAAAAAAUAGGUAAAAAAAACAUCUCCUUUUUUUUUUUGAACACUGAAAAAAACGUUUCCUUGUUAGCGUGUGUUUUGUUACGCCUUCCAUUGUCUUCUUUUUCAUUGCCCAAAGAGAAGAUAAAAAGGUUUGUUUGUCAAGUUGAAGUCUCCAAUUCUAUGCUUUCAAAUCCAGUUUCGAAUUCAUCUUCUCCAAAUCAAAUCAAGCCAUGUUGCCUUAUGAGCUAGAAAGAGCGCUGAUGGUAUGGAGAUGAAGAAGAUGAAUAGAUGAUGGUAUGGGAUUCAAACUUGCAGACCCCAAGGAGGAAGAGGAUGACUUUUCUUGUGAACCAGUACAACUAGUCUUGCCUAAAUUUCAACAAAAGAAACCGAUGGCAAAUUCAUGAGAACUCACUGAUGCAAGUGUCUUGAUCUUUGAUGUAGAAAGGCCACAGCUACAGACUUGUAAUGUAUUCUUAAAAUAUAGGCUUGCAAGUUCUUUGCUGUAUUUCUUCUCCUUCGUGGGACAUCUGAUCUGAAAAUCAGAGACAUAAUCCCACCAGACCCAAGGUUUCCUGGUUUGAUUCCCCACCUUGAAAACUGCAAAGCUGUCUCAACUGUUCCACAACCACGUCUUUUCUAUUGUCUUGAAAAUCAGUGACAUAACCGCCUUUCUCAAGAAUCUGAGCAGUUCCUUUAAAGUCCAUAAGGGAGAGGCCGUACUAUUGUAGCAUUGAUCUCAUCGUCUACAAUGACACCUGAGGAAUCUUCCGGUUUGCAGCCUAAAACUAGCCAAUGCAUUGCCAUAGUUAUAUUGUUCUUCUUGGCCAUCGUAAUGGAUCCGAUUUUUCUUCUACAAAUUUUACAAGAUUAUACUUUCAACAUAUGGUUUGAUUUUACUCCCAUAGAAAAUAAAGAAUUUGUUUCUGUUAAAUAUCUACAACCAGUACCAUGUUUGUUAUUAUGAUGUUUGCAUAUAUUAUGGUUAAUAGUAUGAAGUUGUUCUUAUAUUUGAAGCUCCUUCGUGACAAAAUCAGCAUCAAUCGUGGAUUUGAAGCUCAAAACCUAAGAGAUAAAACAAAGAUCACGUUCUAACUCUUGCUAACGGCUAAGGUUUUUUUUAAAAAGCUAUUUUUCUUUUUUAAAGUUUUGUUUCCUCUUUUUACUAAUCUUACAUGUCAAUGUCAAUUUGAUUGGUGCUAAGAAAUAAGUGAAUUAGAGCAUGAUUAACCAUAAAUCCCAUAUGGGUUGCUUAAUGAGUAUUUAAUUAGUUAAUUGAACUUUGAUUGGACAUAAGCACUUUAGUUAAGAUCUCAUUAAGAUGUGUCCUCCAAUGGAGGGAUCUUAUUAAGGGGUGCUUAAGUUUUUUUUUAAGAUAAAAUUUAAAGAAAACAUAAUUAAAUAUUACAUUUUAAACAUAUAAUAUUAAUUAAAAAAAAACAAGGAUUAAUAAAAUAAACGAGCAAGAUACAUUCGGAAGUCAGUUGUUGUCUUCAUCAGAUCCAAAUUUAGUCCACAGAUGUUCAACCAAAUCAUGUUUGAGUUGUUGAUGCAUUUGUCUAUCACGAAUCUUUGUUCGAACACCCAUCAUAUUGGCGAUAUUUGUAGGCAUAUCCGUUGAAAAAGCGAGAUCGACAUGUGAAGUUCCGGUGUCUUCUCUUUGUUGGAACUCUGAAACAUCAAUUAGAUUGUACCCAUCUCGUUCGUCUUCAACGAUCAUAUUAUGGAGUAUGAUACAUGCUCUCAUAAUCUUUCCGAUUUUGACUUUAUCCCAAAAAAGCGCUGGAUUUUUAACAAUGGCAAAGCGAGCUUGCAAUACUCCAAAAGCACG